UACAGAGGUCUCAAGCGUUGUUCGGAUUCAUUGGGCGUAAAGGGUGCGUAGGCGGCGCGGUAAGUCGGGUGUGAAAUCUCGGAGCUUAACUCCGAAACUGCAUUCGAUACUGCCGUGCUUGAGGACUGGAGAGGAGACUGGAAUUUACGGUGUAGCGGUGAAAUGCGUAGAUAUCGUAAGGAAGACCAGUGGCGAAGGCGGUUCUCUGGGAAUAUCCUGACGCUGAGGAGCGAAAGUGUGGGAGCGAACAGG
rnacentral:rRNA from 1 species